AACGCACGAGACCUGCGGACCUGCGGAGGGAUCAUUACCGAGUGUGGGUUCGUUUCGAGCCCUAUCUCCCACCCGUGUUUACCGUGACCAUGUUGCUUUGGCGGGCCCACUGGGGCCCUGGCCCCGGUCGCCGGGGGGCUGCUGCCCCCGGGCCCGUGCCCGCCGAAGCGCCUGUGAACCCUGUCUGAAUAGUGAGUCUGAGUGGAAGAUUGAAUUAUUAAAACUUUUAGCAACGGAUCU
rnacentral:misc_RNA from 1 species